CCUACGGGUGGCAGCAGUGAGGAAUAUUGGUCAAUGGACGAGAGUCUGAACCAGCCAAGUAGCGUGAAGGAUGACUGCCCUAUGGGUUGUAAACUUCUUUUAUAUGGGAAUAAAAUGUUCCACGUGUGGGAUUUUGUAUGUACCAUAUGAAUAAGGAUCGGCUAACUCCGUGCCAGCAGCCGCGGUAAUACGUAGGAUCCGAGCGUUAUCCGGAUUUAUUGGGUUUAAAGGGAGCGUAGGUGGAUUGUUAAGUCAGUUGUGAAAGUUUGCGGCUCAACCGUAAAAUUGCAGUUGAAACUGGCAGUCUUGAGUACAGUAGAGGUGGGCGGAAUUCGUGGUGUAGCGGUGAAAUGCUUAGAUAUCACGAAGAACUCCGAUUGCGAAGGUAGUUCACUGGACUGCAACUGACACUGAGGCUCGAAAGUGUGGGUAUCAAACAGGAUUAGAUACCCGGGUAGUC
rnacentral:rRNA from 1 species